rnacentral:rRNA from 1 species
UACGUAGGUGGCAAGCGUUGUCCGGAUUUACUGGGCGUAAAGGGCGCGUAGGCGGUUCGAUAAGUCCCGUGUGAAAUCCCUCGGCUCAACUGAGGAACUGCACGGGAAACUGACGGGCUUGAGUUCGGGAGAGGGAAGCGGAAUUCCGGGUGUAGCGGUGAAAUGCGUAGAUAUCCGGAGGAACACCGGUGGCGAAGGCGGCUUCCUGGACCGACACUGACGCUGAGGCGCGAAAGCUAGGGGAGCAAACGGG